CCCGGCCGGUGGCGUCCCGGGCGCCUGCGAUCAGAUGGCCGGUGUGGCCGCCAGCUGUCCCCGGGGCGCAGUUCUAGGCGGGCAGGCUGAGCCCGCGGCGCUAGGACCCCCGGGCAGAGCGCGGGGAGGGGCGAGGGCGGGAGGAAUCCCUUGCAGGGUGCCGGCGCGGUUGCCAUCCGAGGCCGCCGCCCAAAAUAGUCCCCGGCUCCGCUGGCCUGUCUCACGGCCGGAGAUGGCUGCGGUCUUCCACCCCGUGGAACUGGGUGCGCCCUGGGGUCCUGCGAGCCCCGAGCCCCCUCCCACCCGCUUCCACAGCGUGCACGGCGCCAACAUCCGCGUGGAUCCCUCCGGGACGCGGGCCACCCGUGUCGAGAGCUUCGCCCACGGCGUGUGCUUCAGUCGCGAGCCGCUGGCCCCGGGCCAGGUAUUCUUGGUCGAGAUCGAAGAAAAAGAGCUGGGCUGGUGCGGACACCUGCGCCUAGGCCUGACUGCCCUUGACCCCGCCGGUCUGGCCGCGGUGCCCGAGUUCUCGAUGCCCGACCUGGUCAGUCUUGGCCACACCUGGGUCUUCGCCAUCACUCGCCAUCAUAACCGCGUGCCCCGGGAGGGCAGCCCAGAGGCGGCGACCGCGGCCCCCAAACGCCCCCCAACCCUCCUGCUGGAGCCCUAUCUGUGCAUCGAGCAGUUUCGCAUUCCCCGCGAUCGCCUGGUGGGCCGCAGCCGGCCAGGCCUCUACAGCCACCUGCUGGACCAGCUGUAUGAGCUGAACGUGCUGCCUCCCACCGCGCGCCGCAGCCGCCUGGGUGUUCUCUUCUGCCCCCGCCCAGAUGGCACGGCAGACAUGCACAUCGUCAUCAACGGCGAGGACAUGGGCCCAAGCGCCAGGGGGUUGCCGGCCACCCAGCCCCUGUACGCAGUGGUGGACGUGUUUGCCUCCACCAAGAGCGUGCGCCUGGUGCAGCUGGAGUAUGGCUAUUAUGAAUUACGUGAACCUGCCCUGUGUCAGGCCUGGAGACGACCAGCUAAAGCAGCCCCUACCAUUGCCCCAGAACCUGCUGAGUGAGGGGAAAGGGAGCGAGCUGAGUGUUGCAAUAGAAACAGAUGUGUUGUGAAAGAGGCACUUAUCUCAGCCAUAUGACUGGCAUGUGAAGUAGGGUGGGGCUGGAGAGCAGAAGUGCCGUGCCUGCAGACUCUGUGCCGCCUAGUGAUCCAGAGGAGUGUGGUGCACCGCUUGGCCAUUGAUGGGCUGCAC